GGUGCGGUGGUCGAGUGGUAUCACACUGGUCUACUAUUCCAGAGGUCCCCGGUCCGGGCGCACUG
rnacentral:tRNA from 1 species